rnacentral:rRNA from 1 species
UGCGCAGGCGGUUUGUUAAGUCAGAUGUGAAAGCCCCGAGCUUAACUUGGGAACUGCAUUUGAUACUGGCAAACUAGAGUGUGGUAGAGGGAAGUGGAAUUCCUCAUGUAGCGGUGAAAUGCGUAGAUAUGAGGAGGAACACCAGUGGCGAAGGCGACUUCCUGGACCAACACUGACGCUCAUGUACGAAAGCGUGGGUAGCAAACA